UUCAUGAGAGUUUGAUCCUGGACGAACGCUGGCGGCGUGCCUAAUACAUGCAAGUCGAACGAACCGCGACUGAGUGCUUGCACUUGGUCAAGGUGAGUGGCGAACGGGUGAGUAACACGUGGGUAACCUACCUCAUAGUGGGGGAUAACAGUCGGAAACGACUGCUAAUACCGCAUAGGACAUGGGAUCACAUGAUUCAGUGAGGAAAGGUGGCGCAAGCUAUCGCUAAGAGAUGGACCCGCGGUGCAUUAGCUAGUUGGUAGGGUAAAGGCCUACCAAGGCGAUGAUGCAUAGCCGACCUGAGAGGGUGAUCGGCCACAUUGGGACUGAGACACGGCCCAAACUCCUACGGGAGGCAGCAGUAG
rnacentral:rRNA from 1 species